GACCGCUCCGGUGGCCUAAUGGUUAGAGCGUCCGCCUCGGAUGCGGGAGGUCACGGGUUUGAUUCCCUGCCUAGUCA